CAAAAAAUAAUGUAAUCCGCCUCGAUGUAAUGGGGCAGAUGUAACAGAAAAUCGAUGUAAUGGCUUUUUUCAGAUGCACAAUCACACCGAUUUUGUGUAGAAUUACAUCUGUCUCAGCAUUACACAAAAACCAAAUAACAAUUCUCCUUUCCGUUGCAUUCGUGUAAUAUUCACAUCGAGUAAAUGUGAAUAUUACACAGAAACAGCUGCAACCAAGCGGUUGCGAUGGAGUUGUGUAGCAUUACACAAAGUCGAUGUCAUAUCGCAUCUUUUCAUGAUGCGAUAGUACGUCUCGCAACACUGCCGACUUUGUUGUGAUCGGCCAGCGCGCGGCAAGUGGGCAUCCAUUUUGGAGAAAACGAGAAAAACGAUUUCGGCUCAAAUUGUGUUUGCUUUUGAAGGAUAACUGAACGUGUAAGCGGAGAUCCCGGCUUCGUAUAGUUCCAGCAGGCACCAUUUCAAAUACCAAGUCGCCGACGAAUCAACAUCUUGGUUUGUAAAUCCGGCCGAACCUAUUACUAUGUGCUAUUACGAUCUUGAUUGAUCUUGGCCAAGUGUGAUACCAGCUACGGAUAAAUCACUCCCAAAAAUCACCAGAAGAACCACAUUCCAAUAUGACAACCCCCAAAACUAAGCGCGACAGGUGCCACAUCGGUUCCGGCGGUGUUUGCAACCGGCGGAGGGCGGUGUUAGCCACGAAAUCCAUCGCCACCACAGGACCCAGUGUGCCGUAUCCGUAUCCAACACCACCGCCAUCACCGUAAUCACAUCCAGCCAGAAAAAUCGAUCUGAUAUGCCAAGCGCUGCUGAUCGUCAGUGGGGGACAGGAGGAUGGUCAAUUUGCGAGGACUUGGACGCUCUGAAGGACUCUGAAGUAGACGUGAACUCCGGCAAAGGCAAAUCAUGAUCCCGUGCAACAGAAUAACAAAUAUCUGAGUCGCAGGUAUGAUUUAAUCCGAUUUCAUUAUCGUUCGUUAGUUCUACCCUUGCACUGAAGGUUCUAGUGAAGACGUUUCACUCUAUUUUUCCUUAGUGAAACAUAUCACAUUUAUGACACUUAAGUACCUACAUAUACAACGGUUCAUCGCAAACCGGCUGCUAUGUGCUAGAAACAGAAGUAGGUAUGACUGGAUUAUCUUUGGAAAAAUUAUAAGAAAUCCUCGAUAAAAAGAGUGCACCGUCGGGUUCUAAGUCGGUUAGAUUCAAAGAUUUGUGUUUUUUUUUACCAUGUCUUUCUAUUCCUUGGAUUUCAGCCCUCUUCUUCUUCUUGCUGGCUCAACGUUCCAACUGGAACAAGGCCUGCCCCUCUUCAACUUAGUGUUGUCUAAGCACUUCCACAAUUAUUAAUUGAAGGGCAUUGUUUGCCGGCUAUUGCAUGAAUUUGUAUAUUAUUAGGCAAGCACAUACCUAUUAUAUAGACAUGGCUUUUUUGGGACAGUCAGGGUCCCGAUACCGCAGGGGAUUUCGAUCAGCUCGAUUGUGCAACUAUCUACUUCCUCCAAAGUCAGUAUAGCUACAUCAUAGCGGUCGAUUAUUCCCGUCAUGGUUCCAAACACCUUCGUCGCGUUCAAGACAUUUCCAAGGCCAAGAAAGUAUCGCCCUUAUCGUUAUCCCUGGGGGUGAGCUGAAAAAUCCUAAGCAAAGUUAUAGAGGAAAAUGUUUUCUUCGAGGCCCCGAGGGUUUGGUUUUUGGUCUGUAUUGAAAAAUGCGGUGUAGGUGAGUUGUUAGGUAAUUUUCAAAUUAAAUUAAUCGUAGGUAGAAUGCCUUUAACUUCCUUCAAAGUCACUCUAGUCGCAAGCAGUACCAAAGAGUACAGAUCGGUGUGCGACAGCACGUGUGUGACUGAACGUGUAUUGCUAUUAGAAUCUACGUGCACUUUGGAAUCGCCAGUGAUUGAGAGAUUCCGUACUGCGACGAUUCCUUCGAAAAUAGUGUCUUUUCUCUUGAUAUUUCUGGCCAGGCGUCCUCAUUGGGACAGAGACUGUUUGUUCAGUUUAGUAUAUUUUUUCUUGUUUUUCUUAGCGUGAUGUCCUCACUGGGACAAAGCUUCUCAGUUUAGUGUUCUAUAAGCACUUCCACAGUUAUUAACUAAGGGCUUUCUCUGGCAAUGACCUUUUUGCAUGUGUAUAUCGUGUGGAAGAUACCGAGGAAGACACGGAGAUACUCCAAGCUAUGACCAGCUGUAACCUCGUGGGGGUUGUAACUCAGUAUACCAUAUUCGACGCACUUUUGAAUUAUUCUUAUUCUAAGCCGAUUUUAGUUUUAGCUCAACCUUCUUCGUGCAUUAACUUGUACUCACCUUGCUGACAAAGUGCACGUUUAGGGGUCAUAAUGACCCCAAUGCACGACUAGACUUAACAGUCAAUUGUGCAAUCUUUAUUUACAUUUACUUUAAGUUCUCCUUCUUCUUCUUCUUCUUCUUCUUGGCGUAACGUCCUCACUGGGACAAAGCCUGCUUCUCAGCUUAGUGUUCUAUGAGCACUUCCACAGUUAUUAACUGAGAGCUUGCUCUGCCAAUGUGUAUAUCGUGUGGCAGGCACGAAGAUACUCUAUGCCCAAGGAAGUCAAGGAAAUUUGUUUUACGAAAAGAUCCUGGACCGACCGGGAAUCGAACCCGUCACCCUCAGCAUGGUCAUGCUGAAUACCCGUGCGUUUACCGCCUCGGCUAUAUGGGCCCUUAUUUACUUUAAGUAUACCAAUCGAAAAAUGUUAAUAGGGGGAUUCACUAAACAGCGUAGACCACUGAAUAACCCGGGAGCAUUCGCGUCAUGUACUGAAUACACGCGCCAUAUACGAUUGUGGUACACAGCGUGAGCCAGGGUGUGAGCGUUGUGUCGCUGAAGGGGGUCAAAUUGGGAAGGAUACUUGAAGGUAUCCUGAGAUAAAUUUAUGAGAAACCCCGGAAGGAAUCCCGAUAUAAAUUCUUAUUGAAAUAGUCCCUAGUGGAAAUUUUGAUGAAUAUUUCCGGAAGAAUUCAGCGAUGAAUUCUUAGAAGAAUCCGAAAUGCGUGAAAGAAUUCUAGGAGUAAUUCCUAAAAAAUCUCAGCAGGAGUUUACGGACUUCCUCAUGUGGAAUUCUCGAAGGAAUCAAAGGUGAAAUACCCGAAAAAUCCCCGGUUAAAAAUCUUGAUGGAAUCCCAGCUUAUCAUAUAAUUUUACUAAAUAACAAGCUUGGUUCAAUGGAAUACAAAAACAACAUGCUAAAUAUUUCGGAUAUGUUGGAAUCGGUUCCGGUAGAGAAAGACUUUCUAGGACCAUAUGCUGCUAUAAAUAGAGUCUAGUGGCUCAAUAAAAUGCACGAAUUUUCACUAGAAUACAAAUACACCAAACGUCAGUCAUGCUAAAAUGAUUGAAUUUCUCAUGAAUUUCUCCAGGGGCACCUCCAGAAAGUCUGUCAGAUAUUUCUUCAGGAACUUCUCUGGGGAUGCCUUCAGGAAUUUCCUCGAGAGACUUAUCCAGGAAUUUCUCUGAAUUCCUCCAGGUACGUCUUGCGUUGUUCCGAUACUUAAUACAAAAAAUACUUCAAAAAUUCCUUCAGAAUUGUUUAUAGCUACUUCUGCAAUAAUUCCUCCAGCAAUUUUCCCAUAGCUUUACUUGUUCCAGUAUCGCUUCCCCCAGAGAUUCCAACAAGAACUUCUCUAGGCAUUUUACCUACCAGACAUUCCUCCGGGAAUUUCUCCUAGGGUGUCUUUAUAAGUUCCUCCAGUGUUUCCAUUGUUUUUUAUUCGAGGAUUCCUUAAGGAUUUUUUUCAUAAAUUCCCAAAGGAAUUUCAGCAGAAAUCCUUUUAGAGAUUUUUUUCAGGGACUCAUUUAUAUAUUCUUUGAAGAAUUUCGAAGAAAUUGUUCCUAUAAUUACACCUGGAAUCAUUCGAAGUAUUUCUGCAGAAGUUUCUUCUAGGAAUACUUUCAGAAAAUUUUACCAGAGAUUAUUCAAAAAUUUAUCCAGGAAUUCUUUAAACAAAUUGGGUUGUUUAGUAAAUAAAAUAUUGCUAUUUUCUAUAGCCUAAUCGAUAGAGCUCAUUUUUCUGAGUAUAACGUGAUUUUAUUGGAUUCUAAUAGCUUUGUUUUGAUGGUUAAAAUAACAAAACAGUUUUUAUUUUCGUGGAUAGAAUGACAGUUCAA